UUAUUUAAUCAUUUCAGAUCAAGAGGACAUCGUUCCCGAGUCGGUUCCGCAGGAGGACGACGAAGGGGACGCCUAAAGACUCCAUAGUCAUAUUCGUAGCUUUUACUUUCAAGUUUCUCCUUUAGGUAGUUUGAUCUUUUAUAUUUUAUGAGCAUGUUUUUGGUUUUAGUGUAAGGGAUAUUAUUCAAAUUUUGACUUCGCUUCCGCAUUUGAUAUUUUUAAUAUACAUUUCAU
rnacentral:lncRNA from 1 species